rnacentral:misc_RNA from 1 species
GAUUCAUGUAUACUAUGCACAUGGAGAAGAUCUUCCGACCUUUGUUCGGAGAUGUUACUGGCUACUAGACAAGUCUCUGGAACACAUAGUCCUUGUUCAUUAUCGAGAAACUCAGGAGACACGGGGCGCCCCAGAGACCUCUGUUGCCAAGAGUUCUCCAGCUACCCCAGUUAAUUCUAGUUCAAGUUCAGAUCCAUCUGACCCAUCUGGUUGGAUUUUAUCAGAAGAAUGUAAUUCCGUAGAUGAACAAGCGUAUGGUGCCAGCCAACAUGCAAAUUUAGAGCCUAACAGGGAUAUGACCGCCAAAACCCAUGAACAGAGACUUCUUGAGAUUAAUACACUCGACUGGGAUGAGCUUUUGGCACCCAACGAUCCUAACAAGCUAAUGGCAACUCAAGAAGUGGGAGGAAGAGCUUCAGUUGGGCAACAGAGUCAAUGUGAAG